UACGGAGGGUGCAAGCGUUAAUCGGAAUUACUGGGCGUAAAGCGCGUGUAGGCUGCUCUGUGUGUCGGAUGUGAAAGCCCCGGGCUCAACCUGGGAAGUGCACUCGAAACUACAGAGCUGGAGUCUCGGAGAGGAUCGCGGAAUUCUCGGUGUAGAGGUGAAAUUCGUAGAUAUCGAGAGGAACACCGGUGGCGAAGGCGGCGA
rnacentral:rRNA from 1 species